AUUGAACGCUGGCGGCAUGCUUUACACAUGCAAGUCGAACGGUAACAGGGUGCUUGCACCGCUGGCGAGUGGCGAACGGGUGAGUAAUGCGUCGGAACGUGCCGAGUAGUGGGGGAUAACGUAGCGAAAGUGGUGCUAAUACCGCAUACGUACUGAGGGAGAAAGUGGGGGACCUUCGGGCCUCUCGCUAUUAGAGCGGCCGACGUCGGAUUAGCUAGUAGGUGAGGUAAAGGCUCACCUAGGCGACGAUCAGUAGCGGGUCUGAGAGGAUGAUCCGCCACACUGGGACUGAGACACGGCCCAGACUCCUACGGGAGGCAGCAGUGGGGAAUAUUGGACAAUGGGCGAAAGCCUGAUCCAGCCAUGCCGCGUGUCUGAAGAAGGCCUUCGGAUUGUAAAGGACUUUUGUCAGGGAGGAAAUCCCUAGUGCUAAUAACACUGGGGUUUGACAGUACCUAAAGAAUAAGCACCGGCUAACUACGUGCCAGCCGCCGCGGUAA
rnacentral:rRNA from 1 species